rnacentral:rRNA from 1 species
GACGAACGCUGGCGGCGUGCCUAACACAUGCAAGUCGAGCGAGGAGAGUUCCUUCGGGAACAACCUAGCGGCGGACGGGUGAGUAACACGUGGGCAACCUGCCUUGUAGAGGGAAUAGCCUUCCGAAAGGAAGAUUAAUACCGCAUAACAUUACAGUUUCGCAUGAAACAGUAAUUAAAGGAGUAAUCCGCUACAAGAUGGGCCCGCGGCGCAUUAGCUAGUUGGUGAGGUAACGGCUCACCAAGGCGACGAUGCGUAGCCGACCUGAGAGGGUGAUCGGCCACAUUGGGACUGAGACACGGCCCAGACUCCUACGGGAGGCAGCAGUGGGGAAUAUUGCACAAUGGGGGAAACCCUGAUGCAGCAACGCCGCGUGAGUGAUGAAGGUUUUCGGAUCGUAAAGCUCUGUCUUCGGGGACGAUAAUGACGGUACCCGAGGAGGAAGCCACGGCUAACUACGUG